rnacentral:rRNA from 1 species
GACGUAGGGCGCAAGCGUUGUCCAGAUUUAUUGGGCGUAAAGAGCUCGUAGGCGGCUCGUUGCGUCGGCUGUGAAAACCCGCAGCUCAACUGUGGGCUUGCAGCCGAUACGGGCGGGCUGGAGUUCGGUAGGGGAGACUGGAAUUCCUGGUGUAGCGGUGAAAUGCGCAGAUAUCAGGAGGAACACCGGUGGCGAAGGCGGGUCUCUGGGCCGAUACUGACGCUGAGGAGCGAAAGCGUGGGGAGCGAACAGG